rnacentral:lncRNA from 1 species
GGGGGGGGGGGGCUGUAGGCGCAAGGCGACCAGGGGCGAGGGCGGCCGGCGGAGUGCGGGCGACGUCUCUGUACGAGCGCGCCGAGGACUCGCUCUCCGAGCUCGACCAGCGGUCCCCGUAGGAGACACGCUCGACGGCGAGGGUCUCUCGGCGGUCGACAGGGUCAGCCCCCACGGGAGCCAUGACGCGGGAGGGGAGGGCCGCGGGGGAGGUCCGGCCGGCGGGGACGGGGACGGCGAUGGAGCGCGGAGCAGCCGUCAAGCUAGCGGGGCGCGGGGGCGGAGCGGGGAGCGGGGCGGUGCGGAGCGGAGAGCCAUCCGUCGCAUUCCCAUAUCCCUUAUGUCUGGCUUACUUGAGCCGGCCUCUUUCGAAAGCUUUGAUGGCAUUUUGAUUUGUUAAAAUCAACUAUUUGAAGAAUAUAUUCUGCCAUUUGAUGUAACUGCAAAGCUGUUUU